rnacentral:rRNA from 1 species
UAAGACGUAGGAGGCGAGCGUUGUCCGGAUUCAUUGGGCGUAAAGAGCGCGCAGGCGGCUUGGUAAGUCGGAUGUGAAAAUCCGAGGCUCAACCUCGGACGUGCAUCCGAUACUGCUCGGCUAGAGGUAGGUAGGGGAGAUCGGAAUUCCUGGUGUAGCGGUGAAAUGCGCAGAUAUCAGGAGGAACACCGGUGGCGAAGGCGGAUCUCUGGGCCUUACCUGACGCUCAGGCGCGAAAGCUAGGGGAGCGAACUG